GAACUGCGCGAACGUUAUUCGGAAUCACUGGGCUUAAAGGGUGCGUAGGCGGCUAUGUAGGUGGGGUGUGAAAUCCCUCGGCUCAACCGAGGAACUGCGCUCCAAACCAUGUAGCUUGAGGAAGACAGAGGUGAGCGGAACUGAUGGUGGAGCGGUGAAAUGCGUUGAUAUCAUCAGGAACACCGGUGGCGAAAGCGGCUCACUGGGUCUUUUCUGACGCUGAGGCACGAAAGCUAGGGGGGAGCGAACGGGAUUAGAUACCCCGGUAGUCCUAGCUGUAAACGAUGAGCACUAGUCUGUGGCGGCCCCCCACACCGUCUCGGACGUAGCGAAAGUGUUAAGUGCUCCGCCUGGGAGUAUGGUCGCAAGGCUG
rnacentral:rRNA from 1 species